ACUGCCCUCCUAGGGGGCACUCGGCAACUCACUCGUGGGGCAUGAUAUUCCAUAAUUUCUCAAGUACUUGCUGCACUUCCUGAGAAAGAAGUCGUCUUGGUAUUGGAUCCGCUCUUCUGUUAGCAUGAACAUGAAUUAGAUUCUAUUCAUCUUCUUUAUUCUUAAGAGAACCCCCCACCCGAACCAUUCUUAAGACCACCAAGCCCUCUCGAAUGAGUUCUACUAUAGAAGCUUUCAACGUACACCCGGGGACAAAUCUUUCACUCACUGAGAAGUGAAAACCUGUGACUAGAUCGUCCUGAAGACGGAUGCGACGGGAAGAAAUGGCAUUUGAAAGUGUUGCUAACUUAACAUUUAGGUUUCGGCAUAACAAAGCUUGCACUGUCUUUUCGCACUUAGGCGCACAGCGUGCCAUUGGUAAUGAUUCUACUACGGUGCCACAAAUUCGCAAGCUGAUCCUAAGUAAUCGUUGUUGUUCAUUGGAUUCCAAAAGAACUACUUCGUUAGGAUUGAGGAAUUGCUGCAAUUCUUCCUGAAUAGCCUGGAUUCUCCCGUCGAGAGUCACUUUGAAAGUCUUACCUAAACUCUUCCGACUGAAUAUGAUAAAGCCUAUAAAACAACAAGCUACUAUCAUUUCUUCAUUAUAGAUUAAGAUCUUCUUCGAACUUAAUGCACAAAUAAAUAGAAUAGCAGCAAAUAACAUCUUUCUAGCCUGCAUAUUCGUGGAACUCAAUCUCAUUUAGAAAGCUUAUCUCUAUCUUUCAGCAACUGAACGGGAAGUGGUUUAGGAAAGGACUUUAGAAUCGGAUGCGCUCGCCCAGCGAGAAAGGCUCUGACCCUGCCAACCAAGUCAAAAUAAAAAAGAAAGAAGAGAACGAAAGGAGAAGAGAACUUCGUAUUUUUUUUGGUAAUUCUCUAGGAGUCAUGUUUAACCUUGAAUGCUAUUAAUAAAUUCUACAGCAAUAGUCCCUCGGACUCGGAAAGUAAUAACGAAAAUGGCUAACCCAAUAGCAGAUUCCGCAGCUGCCACCGUUAGAACCAAUAAAGCAAAUAAUUGACCCAUCAUAUCAUCCAAAGAAACGGAAAAUACCAAAAAGUUCAAAUUCACAGCUAAUAACAUU
rnacentral:misc_RNA from 1 species